CGUUCUGUAAGCCUGCGAAGGUGUGCUGUGAGGCAUGCUGGAGGUAUCAGAAGUGCGAAUGCUGACAUAAGUAACGAUAAAGCGGGUGAAAAGCCCGCUCGCCGGAAGACCAAGGGUUCCUGUCCAACGUUAAUCGGGGCAGGGUGAGUCGACCCCUAAGGCGAGGCCGAAAGGCGUAGUCGAUGGGAAACAGGUUAAUAUUCCUGUACUUGGUGUUACUGCGAAGGGGGGACGGAGAAGGCUAUGUUGGCCGGGCGACGGUUGUCCCGGUUUAAGCGUGUAGGCUGGUUUUCCAGGCAAAUCCGGAAAAUCAAGGCUGAGGCGUGAUGACGAGGCACUACGGUGCUGAAGCAACAAAUGCCCUGCUUCCAGGAAAAGCCUCUAAGCAUCAGGUAACAUCAAAUCGUACCCCAAACCGACACAGGUGGUCAGGUAGAGAAUACCAAGGCGCUUGAGAGAACUCGGGUGAAGGAACUAGGCAAAAUGGUGCCGUAACUUCGGGAGAAGGCACGCUGAUAUGUAGGUGAAGUCCCUCGCGGAUGGAGCUGAAAUCAGUCGAAGAUACCAGCUGGCUGCAACUGUUUAUUAAAAACACAGCACUGUGCAAACACGAAAGUGGACGUAUACGGUGUGACGCCUGCCCGGUGCCGGAAGGUUAAUUGAUGGGGUUAGCGCAAGCGAAGCUCUUGAUCGAAGCCCCGGUAAACGGCGGCCGUAACUAUAACGGUCCUAAGGUAGCGAAAUUCCUUGUCGGGUAAGUUCCGACCUGCACGAAUGGCGUAAUGAUGGCCAGGCUGUCUCCACCCGAGACUCAGUGAAAUUGAACUCGCUGUGAAGAUGCAGUGUACCCGCGGCAAGACGGAAAGACCCCGUGAACCUUUACUAUAGCUUGACACUGAACAUUGAGCCUUGAUGUGUAGGAUAGGUGGGAGGCUUUGAAGUGUGGACGCCAGUCUGCAUGGAGCCGACCUUGAAAUACCACCCUUUAAUGUUUGAUGUUCUAACGUUGACCCGUAAUCCGGGUUGCGGACAGUGUCUGGUGGGUAGUUUGACUGGGGCGGUCUCCUCCUAAAGAGUAACGGAGGAGCACGAAGGUUGGCUAAUCCUGGUCGGACAUCAGGAGGUUAGUGCAAUGGCAUAAGCCAGCUUGACUGCGAGCGUGACGGCGCGAGCAGGUGCGAAAGCAGGUCAUAGUGAUCCGGUGGUUCUGAAUGGAAGGGCCAUCGCUCAACGGAUAAAAGGUACUCCGGGGAUAACAGGCUGAUACCGCCCAAGAGUUCAUAUCGACGGCGGUGUUUGGCACCUCGAUGUCGGCUCAUCACAUCCUGGGGCUGAAGUAGGUCCCAAGGGUAUGGCUGUUCGCCAUUUAAAGUGGUACGCGAGCUGGGUUUAGAACGUCGUGAGACAGUUCGGUCCCUA
rnacentral:rRNA from 1 species